GCGAAAUUCCUUGUCGGGUAAGUUCCGACCCGCAUGAAAGGCGUAAUGAUUUGGGCACUGUCUCAACGAGGGACCCGGUGAAAUUGAAAUACCUGUGAAGAUGCAGGUUACCCGCGACUGGACAGAAAGACCCCAUGGAGCUUUACUGUAACCUGACAUUGGGUUUUGAUACAUUACGUACAGGAUAGGUGGGAGGCUUGGAAAGCUGGACGCUAGUCUGGCUGGAGCCGACGUUGGGAUACCACCCUUGAUGUAUUGAAAUUCUAACCGCGAGAGUAACGAAAUCCGGGACAGUGUCAGGCGGGCAGUUUGACUGGGGCGGUCGCCUCCGAAAGAGUAACGGAGGCGCCCAAAGGUUCCCUCAGCGCGGCCGGAAAUCGCGCGAAGAGUGUAAAGGCAGAAGGGAGCUUGACUGCGAGUCAAACACGACGAGCAGGUACGAAAGUAGGGCUUAGUGAUCCGGUGGUACCGAGUGGAAGGGCCAUCGCUCAACGGAUAAAAGCUACCCUGGGGAUAACAGGCUAAUCUCUCCCAAGAGUCCAUAUCGACGGGGAGGUUUGGCACCUCGAUGUCGGCUCAUCACAUCCUGGGGCUGAAGUAGGUCCCAAGGGUAUGGCUGUUCGCCAUUUAAAGUGGUACGCGAGCUGGGUUUAGAACGUCGUGAGACAGUUCGGUCCCUAUCUGCCGUGGGCGCUGGAGAACUGAGGGGGGCUGCUCCUAGUACGAGAGGACCGGAGUGGACGCAUCACUGGUGUUCGGGUUGUCAUGCCAAUGGCACUGCCCGGUAGCUAAAUGCGGAAGAGAUAAGUGCUGAAAGCAUCUAAGCACGAAACUUGCCCCGAGAUGAGUUCUCCCUGACUCCUUGAGGGUCCUGAAGGAACGUUGAAGACGACGACGUUGAUAGGCCGGGUGUGUAAGCGCAGCGAUGCGUUGAGCUAACCGGUACUAAUGAACCGUGAGGCUUAACCUU
rnacentral:rRNA from 1 species